rnacentral:rRNA from 1 species
ACUCAAAGGAAUAGACGGGGGCCCGCACAAGCGGUGGAGCAUGUGGUUUAAUUCGACGCAACGCGCAGAACCUUACCAGCCCUUGACAUGGCGUCUAAAGCCCGGUGAAAGCUGGGGGUCCCGCAAGGGGGGCGUCACAGGUGCUGCAUGGCUGUCGUCAGCUCGUGUCGUGAGAUGUUGGGUUAAGUCCCGCAACGAGCGCAACCCUUACCUCUAGUUGCCAGCGGGUUGGGCCGGGCACUCUAGAGGGACUGCCGGUGACAAGCCGGAGGAAGGUGGGGAUGACGUCAAGUCCUCAUGGCCCUUACGGGCUGGGCUACACACGUGCUACAAUGGUGGUGACAGUGGGCAGCGAAAGAGCGAUCUGGAGCUAAUCCCCAAAAGCCACCUCAGUUCGGAUCGCAGGCUGCAACUCGCCUGCGUGAAGGUGGAAUCGCUAGUAAUCGCGGAUCAGCACGCCGCGGUGAAUACGUUCCCGGGCCUUGCACACACCGCCCGU